ACGCUCGACACCUACCGGAGGCAGCAGUUGGGAAUAUUGGACAAUGGAGGAAACUCUGAUCCAGUGACGCCGCGUGAAGGAAGAAGGUCUUCGGAUUGUAAACUUAUUUUGUCAGGGAAGAAAAAAUGACUGUACCUGAAGAAAAAGCACCGGCUAACUACGUGCCAGCAGCCGACGGUAAUCUGAGCGGGCUGGCAAGGC
rnacentral:rRNA from 1 species